rnacentral:lncRNA from 1 species
GAACAUUGGGCAAACUGCAGAAACAGCAUUGGUGAAAGCGAAUCACAGUAUCAUUUUCUAAUUCUGCCGUCCUCUGUAACCAAGACUCAAACAACAAGACAACUAAUACUAAUAGUAAUUCUUUUUUGUCUCGAUUUUGUGCUGGCAACUCUGGAUUUUCCGACAUAACCAAGCUCUUCGAUUCUUCCUAUGUAUCUUUCUUAUCCGUCAAUAUCUCCCUUCCUUAAUCUUGGAAAAGAAGAAACAUUCUCAGAAACAGAAGCACAGCCCCAAAAACUUUAACUGUUUCACAGAUAUAUUGGUGGAGCUAUGGCCCGUUUAUCAUAUGUUGAAGGUUUGGAUUUCUGGCUUCUCUUUAUUGAAUGGAAAGUUGUCAUGCUCACUUCUUUUCUGCAUUCGUUUUCAAUGGGUGCUAGAUUUAGUGAUAUCUGUUUCCAGGGCUGUCUAUCGGAAAUAGCCUCUCUGACCCAUUGGAUAAGGGUAAGGUCUACAUACAUACGGUACUUCCCGGACCCCACAUUGUUGUUGUUAUUUUUUAUGACAACUUUGGUGUUCCGGACCAGCUUAGGCGCAACUAAUCUACCCGCCGAGGCUUAGGCAGGCUUAUAGGAAAAAAUCACACAGUGUUUUUUGCCUAAGCUGGGAUCUGAACCCAAAACCUCAUAGUUCUCCUUCUACUUUGAUGGGAAGAAAAUGAAUGUUAUAUUACUGUUUAUUAAUAAGAAGCAUAUCAUAAAAAUAGAAUGCAUAUAUUUUUAACUAAGAACCUAAGAAUUACAGUGUAAGGUGCUAUAUAACGAAUUUGUGUGUUUUCCAAAUUUAUAUAUUGUUUUCUACUUAAAAGGAUUGUAGGAGUGCAGUUCAAUUUAAUAGACAGCAUUCUUACAAGUGUCAGGUCUUAGAAUCCUUAUGUUUAGCUUGGCAUAAUAUAUGCACUUGCAUUGUCUAGCUUUCUUAAGCUUUGACAUAUUAAUUCUAUGCCGCUUAACACUUCAUUGUCCUUUGCGGAUACAGUGAUAUCUCCAUUACCAUCAAGACGUGUGCUGCAGAACUCUGCAUCGAAGCAGCCUUACACGGGCUUGUUCUUUUUUCUUGGAAGCCUCGUUAUUCUUAUAGUCCUGGUUGUUCUCAUUCUCAUCCUAUGCAAGUUUUUCAAACCAGGAAAACUGCGAGCUUUGAUUGGUCGCACAGCUAAGCCUCAAGGUUUCCCCGAUGCUCCUUUAAUUUUAUUAUAGUUGUUCGGAAUGAAAUAGUACUAACGCCUUUUCUUCAAAUGUUACAGGGACGAGUGAUGCCCUUAGUGUACAUCUUCGUACAAUAAGCUACUAUAACUUCCAUACAUUGAAGAAGGCCACGAAGAAUUUUCAUUCAAAUAACCUACUUGGAAGUGGUGGAUUUGGUCCGGUUUUCUUGGUAUUAGUUUUCUGCAGCCAUUUUUUUUGUGUUAAAGCUGAUUACACUGUUUCUUACAUGGAUAAAGUUAUAAUUAUGCAUGAAAGAUCCUUUAGGGCCUUGGCGCUGUUAUGAGAUCUUGAGAUGUGAGACAUCAUCUGAGGUUAAUGUGUCUAAACACUUUAAAAAAUGAGUCUAAAAUCCUAAAAUAAUAAGCUUACUGGUGUUUAAUACUAUACCUAUAUACAUGAUAAUCUAAAUAAGGUAAUGUCUUCCGUAGGGGAAGCUAGGAGACGGACAAUUGAUUGCUGUCAAGAAGCUGUCUGUUGACAAAUCACAGCAAGGGGAACGGGAGUUCCUUGCAGAGGUGCGGCUAAUAACAAGCAUACAGCACAAGAACCUGGUCUGCCUUCUCGGCUGUUGCUCAGAUGGGGCUCAGAGGCUACUCGUCUAUGAAUACAUGAAGAAUAGGAGCUUGGACCAAAUAUUAUAUGGUAGUGUUUCUCUUUCCUAUUGAGCUCGUUAUAAGUUAUUGCUUUUUGAGUUGUGAACUCGGAUAGGUUUCAGAAACAAAGGAGCCAAAUGGAUUGAGAAGUAGUGAAUAUGAGAAAUCAGAAUAUCAUUGUUUUUGCACCUGUAUGCAUCUGUAUCACUCUUGAAUCACAUAUGUUUGUACCCUUGAAUACAACAACAACAACAACCCGGUAUAAUCCCACAUAGUGGGGUCUGGGGAAGGUAGAAUGUACGCAGACCUUAACUCUACCCUUGGGUAGAGAGGCUGUUUCCGAAUACACCAUCGGCAUCCUUCCCUCCAAGAACUUCCCACCUUGCUCUUGGGGAGACUCGAACUCACAACCUCUCGGUUGGAAGUGGAGGUUGCUUACCAUCAGAGCAACCCCUCUUAUCAUGUUUGUACCCUUGAAUGAUACCAUCAUAUUAUAUUCAUUGUCGUACUGCUUCUCAUGGAGUAUUAUUACAUCUUAUUUGGGUUCAAGAUUGAAUGAUAGAUUGUAGACCCUUGCUUUCAUUUAUGAAAAAGUGAGUUCUGUUUCCUUUGACCUGAAAAGUUUUCACUACUUGGUCACUCAAGGUUUCUAGAGCUGAAUCUUUUUCGCUAGUUGUCUCCUACACUUUUGAGAAUAUAUAACAGUAGCCUGCAAUUUCUUUUUCUUUAUUCCGUGAUUUUUAUUACUUCAACUUUGUGAUACAAAUUGUAUAUCUGUCGAUAGUUCUAUCCCCCCCCCCCCCCCCCNNNNNNNNNNNNNNNNNNNNNNNNNNNNNNNNNNNNNNNNNNNNNNNNNNNNNNNNNNNNNNNNNNNNNNNNNNNNNNNNNNNNNNNNNCGAUUCGGUUGUAAUGUUUGCUUUUCACAGGAAAGAGUAAUAUAUUCCUUAACUGGAAAACAAGGCACCAGAUAAUUUUAGGGAUCGCAAGAGGGUUACAGUAUCUUCAUGAGGAUUCACACAUUAGAAUUGUCCAUAGGGACAUCAAAGCCAGCAAUAUUCUGCUGGAUGACAAAUUCCAACCAAGAAUUGGAGAUUUUGGCCUAGCCAGAUUUUUCCCUGAAGAUCAAGCAUAUCUCAGCACUGCAUUUGCUGGAACCUUGUACGUGUUUUCUCGCUUCAGUAGUCUAUUAUGCUAACUCAAAAUAACACCUUUAACAUAGAAGCUAUUUGGAAAAAAGUAUUUUGUCUAGCAUCAGUAGUCUAUUAUGCUAACUCAAAAUAACACCUUUAACAUAGAAGCUAUUUGGAAAAAAGUAUUUUUUGGGUGUGUUUGAUACGACUAAGGAACUUUCAUGAUUAAUCAUUUCCCAUUGCGUGGUUUUAUAUUGUUAGAUAUGUUCUCCUCAGAAAUUUUUUAACAAGGACCUCAAUUCUUACAGCCUACCACUUUUUUCCUACCAAUAUGUAAGCAAUAUUAUCAGAAUUUGCUACUUACAACUAUUACCAACACUCUUCCAAUAUUCCCCAUCACCACCCUCUUGUCUUCUCUGCUACCAUAUGCGGCCUACAAUGCCCAUCUAAAUACCAAAACAACUACCCAGUAUAGUCCCACAAAGUGGGGUCUGGGGAGGGUAAUAUGUAGACGAGCAUUACCCCUACCGAAAGAGCAGAGAGGCUGUUUCCAAUGCCCAUCUAAAUACCAUGAAAAUGACUUAAUGAGUAGUUUCCCUGAGUAAAACAUAUUAUUUUCGCUGGAAUUUGUCAAUGACAGUAGCUCUAAGAAGGAAAUGAUGUUGUGCUUUGCAAUAGUAUUGGUCAGGUGUUUAAGUCACAGGCUGAAGGAUUUACAAUGUUCAUAAUAAUUGCAAUUUACGUUGUCAUUUCUCUCUCUAUAUAUAUAUAUAGACAAGAGGGGUUGCUCUGAUGUAAGCAACCCCCACUUCCAACCGAGAGGUUGUGAGUUCGAGUCUCCCCAAGAGCAAAGUGGGAAGUUCUUGGAGGGAAGGAUGUCGGGGGNNNNNNNNNNNNCCCACUUCCAACCGAGAGGUUGUGAGUUCGAGUCUCCCCAAGAGCAAGGUGGGAAGUUCUUGGAGGGAAGGAUGCCGCGGGUCUAUUUGGAAACAGCCUUUCUACCCAAGGGUAGGGGUAAGGUCUCCGUACAUACUACCCUCUUCGGAGAAUUGAAUUUAGCAGUUCCAGCUAUAAGUUUGAUAUUAUUAUACAUGAAGAAUGGAGAAUUUAUUUUGAGAAAUAUUCUGACAAGGUUAUGAAUGUUGCUAUAUACUAUAUUGUCCAGAAAAUGGUACUUUUCAUUUCAUGAACACUUUAAGCUUUAAUUUAUAGAUAUCCAUCAACAAUUUUUAUUUUAAGAAUUGGGUGAUUUUAUGUAAUUUUUGGUAUUUUGUCUGUGCAGAGGUUAUACAGCUCCUGAAUAUGCCAUUAGAGGAGAACUGACUGAAAAGGCUGAUAUAUACAGUUUUGGUGUUCUUGUGCUAGAAAUUAUCAGUUGCCGGAAGAAUACAGAUCUUUCUUUGCCUUCAGAAAUGCAAUAUCUCCCCGAAUAUGUAGGCUGUCUAAAUUUAACUUACGUUUCGUUAUCUCUUGACGAAACAAAAAAGGUUGUGUGUUUGACAUUGAUCGUUCAAGUGCAGGCAUGGAAGCUAUACGAAAGGUCAAGAUUGAUUGAUCUAGUUGAUCCCAAGAUGCGGGAAGAUGGAAUUGUGGAAAAGGAUGUCAUGCAAACAAUAUAUGUGGCUUUCUUAUGUCUUCAGCCAGAUGCAAAUUUAAGACCACCAAUGUCUGAGAUUGUUGCAAUGUUGAUACGCGAUGUUGCAGUAGUUGAAACACCAAUUAGGCCAGCUUUCUUAGAUCGAAAGAGAAGGAACGACAAGAAGCUUUCUUGGGAUAUUAUAACAGAUGGUUUCUCUUCUCCUCUGCAGAGUGAUUCACCUUCAAAGUAAGGGUGCUGUACGUCUUCCACUGGAAGCUAAAUCAUUGAAUAUGGUUGAUCCUGAUUCUUUUUAUCUUUUGUGUGUUGUCAAUAGUAUUUGUACAUAUAUAUGUAGAAAAGAAUACAGCCAAGGUUGCUUUUUCUAAUUUCUGCAGGGAUGAGGAAUUAUAGCUCGAGUGUAUUAGUUAACAUGAUUGCAAAGUGUUUUUGGUGAUUGAAACUGCAUCGUGAAUGUUAUUUCUUGAUGAAGAAGGUUCACUUUGUUUCAGAAGAAUAAGAACAAGGAAAGGAAUAACGUCUAGUUAAAAUAAGGAGAGAAAGGGAAAAGGAAUAUCAUUUUUCUAUUUUUGGUUCAAUCAAAAUAGUAAAAGGAAAGGAAUAAGAUGUCAUUUUACAGAAAUGAUAUUGUUUGGCGGCCUAUUGCCGGGCGUAGUUAUAAUUUAGCUAAUUACAUUUUGUAGCUAUUAAUUGUUUGCAAUGGGAUGUAUGUCGUGGUAUUCAAUUCAGUUGCAUAUAUUGUAUUAAAUUUAGAUAUAUUCGUUCUUAUAUAUUUUACAUUGUAUUCAUGUUUAUUGUGUUGAAUUCAGUUGUAUUUAAACAACAAAAAAUCAAGAAAUAUGGUGUAUGUCGCUCUAUUCAAUUCGGUUGUAUAUAGUGGAGAACAAAGUUCACCAGAGAUGGCGCCUUUUGGCCAAGCCAAAUACUAUAUAUAUUGUAUUAAAAUUAAAAAUGGAGACGAACAAAAAUCCGGCCAGAUUGAGAAUACAAUAUCACAUUGUAUCUACCAAAAUCUGGUCAGACGAAUACACUCAGAUGUGAGAUAGAAAGAAGGAGAAGAACCCAUGAUUUCCGACAUUACCUUUAGCUCCAGAUCUAGUGACGCCCCCGAUCUUCCCCUCCACUGUAUUUGCCAUCGAUAAUGAACUCAUUGCGACUUUGUGAUUUUCAUGUCUGAAUUUGAGGGUGGAGAUGAAAGAAGGGAGCGAGAGACGGUUGGAUCUGACGGCGGAGAUGAUAGAGAAGGGGGGGGGNNNN